UACGUAGGGUGCAAGCGUUGUCCGGAAUUAUUGGGCGUAAAGAGCUCGUAGGUGGCCUGUCGCGUCGGCUGUGAAAACUCAGGGCUCAACUCCGAGCUUGCAGUCGAUACGGGCAGGCUAGAGUUCGGCAGGGGAGACUGGAAUUCCUGGUGUAGCGGUGAAAUGCGCAGAUAUCAGGAGGAACACCGGUGGCGAAGGCGGGUCUCUGGGCCGAUACUGACACUGAGGAGCGAAAGCGUGGGGAGCGAACAGG
rnacentral:rRNA from 1 species